UUUAUAUCUUUGGUAUAAAUAAUUGUUAGAGGCAGACGGGUGAGUAAUGCGUAGGAAUCUACCUAGUAGUAUGGAAUAGCCAUUAGAAAUGAUGGGUAAUACUGUAUAAUCCCUGCGGGGGAAAGAUUUAUCGCUAUUAGAUGAGCCUACGUUAGAUUAGCUAGUUGGUAAGGUAAUGGCUUACCAAGGCUAUGAUCUAUAGCUGGUCUGAGAGGACGAUCAGCCACACUGGAACUGAGAUACGGUCCAGACUCCUACGGGAGGCAGCAGUGGGGAAUAUUGGACAAUGGGCGAAAGCCUGAUCCAGCUAUGCCGCGUGAGUGAAGAAGGCCUUCGGGUUGUAAAGCUCUUUCAAUAGGGAAGAUAAUGACGGUACCUAUAGAAGAAGUCCCG
rnacentral:rRNA from 1 species